rnacentral:rRNA from 1 species
GACGAACGCUGGUGGCGUGCUUAACACAUGCAAGUCGAACGCUGAAGCUCAGCUUUUGUUGGGUGGAUGAGUGGCGAACGGGUGAGUAACACGUGAGUAACCUGCCCCCUUCUUUGGGAUAACGCCCGGAAACGGGUGCUAAUACUGGAUAUUCACUGGUCUUCGCAUGGGGGUUGGUGGAAAGGGUUUUUCUGGUGGGGGAUGGGCUCGCGGCCUAUCAGCUUGUUGGUGGGGUGAUGGCCUACCAAGGCUUUGACGGGUAGCCGGCCUGAGAGGGUGACCGGUCACAUUGGGACUGAGAUACGGCCCAGACUCCGACGGGAGGCAGCAGUGGGGAAUAUUGCACAAUGGGCGCAAGCCUGAUGCAGCGACGCCGCGUGAGGGAUGGAGGCCUUCGGGUUGUGAACCUCUUUCGCUCAUGGUCAAGCCGCAACAAUGGUUGUGGUGAGGGUAGUGGGUAAAGAAGCGCCGGCUAACUACGUG